rnacentral:rRNA from 1 species
AGAUUGAACGCUGGCGGCAGGCCUAACACAUGCAAGUCGAGCGGCAGCACGGGUACUUGUACCUGGUGGCGAGCGGCGGACGGGUGAGUAAUGCCUAGGAAUCUGCCUGGUAGUGGGGGAUAACGCUCGGAAACGGACGCUAAUACCGCAUACGUCCUACGGGAGAAAGCAGGGGACCUUCGGGCCUUGCGCUAUCAGAUGAGCCUAGGUCGGAUUAGCUAGUUGGUGAGGUAAUGGCUCACCAAGGCGACGAUCCGUAACUGGUCUGAGAGGAUGAUCAGUCACACUGGAACUGAGACACGGUCCAGACUCCUACGGGAGGCAGCAGUGGGGAAUAUUGGACAAUGGGCGAAAGCCUGAUCCAGCCAUGCCGCGUGUGUGAAGAAGGUCUUCGGAUUGUAAAGCAACUUAAGUUGGAGGAAGGCAGUUACCUAAUACGUAAUCUGUUUGACGUUACCGACAGAAUAAGCACCGCUAACUCUGUG